rnacentral:rRNA from 1 species
UACGUAGGGUGCGAGCGUUGUCCGGAAUACUGGGCGUAAAGCGUGCGCAGGCGGUUUUGUAAGUCUGGUCGUGAAAUCCCCGGGCUCAACCUGGGAAUUGCGUUGGAGACUGCAAGGCUAGAAGCUGGCAGAGGGGGGUAGAAUUCCACGUGUAGCAGUGAAAUGCGUAGAGAUGUGGAGGAACACCGAUGGCGAAGGCAGCCCCCUGGGUCAAGAUUGACGCUCAU